rnacentral:lncRNA from 1 species
GGGCGGGGUCUAUGAGGCUAAACUGAGGCGGGGCCCGGGUGGAAAGAGGGCGGGGCUUUGGGAUUGGCCGGGGCUACUGUGAGGAGCCUGGCGGGUAGGAGCAAGGAAACUGAGCGGGGCUGCUGGUUGAGUUCGAGCGGGGGGAGAGGGCGGGGCCCAGCAGGGAGAGGGCGAAGCUUCCAGGUGGGCUUCGGCUACAGGGAGGAGACCGAAUGGAGGGGACAAGGAACAAGGGCGGGGCCUGCGAGGGGUGCCGUAGGGGGCCGGGGCAGGGGCGGGCCCUGAAAUAGAGACGGUCUUUCAGCGACCGAUUUAAGGGUGAGGACGGGGUUCUCGAGACGCUAGAUUGAGAAGCUGGGUGGGGUCUAUGGGGGUCGGGCCAGGGACUAGGGCGGGGCCUGCGAAGGAGAGAGGGAAUGAGGCUGGAGGCGGGGCCAGAACCGGGAAGUUGAUUAGACAGUGAGGGUGGGGCCAGCACCCGCGCCCAGAUGGGAUCUGGCUGGCUAUGGGGCCUGGGAGGGGGCCUUCACCGCGCUGAGCGACAGGAGGCCGGGUCCCCACCGCCUAAUCUCUGUCAUCCACCUGGGCAGGUCUGAGGCCCAGAGAAAGGGCCGCCGCCUGCCCCCUACACCCCCUGGGGUUCCCCGGACCCUCACAGGUGUUGUAGGCCUUCUUAUGGGACAGGAUCUCCACCACCUCCUUCUUCCGGAAGGGCUCCGGCCCCGGCACCGGUUCUGGAAAAGAAACUGACAGUUUACGGAGGCGGCUAGGCUGAGGCUGCAGUGGGAAGGCCCAGGGGUGGCGUGGUCACAGCCAACAGCCACUAUCCCCCUAAGCACGACCUCGACUUAAUCAGCUACACGUCCAUAGUCCCUUCAUUCCUCAGGUCGGGGACCUUCAGGUCCUGUGUGUAACCUCCCCCGCCCCGUGUCCUGUGCACUCCCCGUGCUGCAGGAAGCCAGGUCUUUCUGUUCCAUCCUGGGACCGCCUGUUCCACCCAUCAACGACAGGGAGAUACCCAGGAAGGGGUGAGGGCAAGAGAGCCUGGAAGAUGUAUUUGUGGAUGCCUCCUGUCUACGGUGUGACUGAGCAAAUUACCUGACCUCUCUGUGCUUCCUCAUUAGGAAGUGGGGGGUGAUCACAUUAUGUACAUCACAGAGUUGCCAUGGGAUUUAGAAAUGAGAGUCCCUGGUGUUUGAUCACUGCACAGUAAAUGCCAGCUUUUUUUUUUUUUUUUUUUUUAGACGGGGUCUCACUGUGUCACCCAGGUUACCAGGUCGGAGUGCAGUGGUGUGAUCGCGGCUCACUGCAACCUCCACCUCCGAGGCUCAAUCGAUCCUCCCAACUCAGCCUCCCAAGUAGCUGGGACCACAGACAUCCUCCAUGUGCCUGGCUAAUUUUUUGUAUUUUCGGUAGAGACAAGGGUUUCGCCACGUUGCCCAGGCUGGUCUCGAACCCCUGAGCUCAGGCGAUCCACCCACCUCAGCCUCCCAAAGUGCUGGGAUGACAGGCGUGAGCCACUGUGCCCGGCCUAAAUGCCAGCUAUUAAAUAACUCAGGGACUGAAGGCUUGAGGACGCAUCAGGUUAAAUAGUAGUCAGUGCAGCCCUGGGAGAUGCUAAGCCUGGGGCUGCCACAGAUGGUGUGGUAUCUGGGGUUCCCCCAAGGCCAUCAGGCCACUCACUAGCAGGUUUCUGGGUGCCGAAGUGGAGCUCCAGGUCGAGGUAUUUCACCAUGUCACUCAGCUUAUCGUAGUCAGAGUCUUCCCCGAGCUGCGAGGGAGGAUGGGAGGUUCAGAGUAGGAGGAGCAGCAGCAGCUGGACUGGCCUCCCACUUCCCACCCUCUGAGGGCUGCCAUAGGGGCUUCCCGAGCAAAAGCACCCAUCAGGUGCUGGGAUAAAGCCCGGAGCAGGAGGAGACUGCAGGAGAAGCCAGAUCAUCCGAGUCACCGGGUGCUGAGCCAGCGCCUCCUGGGGUCAAUCGAGACUCAAGACUUGGAACACUACUCGUGCAGAAGCCAGCAAGGUCUCCUUGGAGAGCGGUGAGUUCACCAGGGCUGCCCUGGGCAGAGUGAGCUGGUGCUGAGAGAACUGCAACUGUGACAGCCUAGGGGCCAGACGCUGGACACGUGGCUGUGAUGAAUGGCAUAGAUGAGAGACCGCCACACCUCGCCUCACCCGCCUCCCUCCACACCUGCUUGCGUGCCCACCUCCUCGUAGUCGUUCUCCGGGGUCAGGAAAUCAUCCACGAUGGUGACCCGGGGGCCCAGCUGCUCGCUCAGCACGUCCAGGAAGCGGAGAAACCAGGCCAUACAGAGAUAGGAGCUGAAGGGACACGGUGAGAAGUGACCAAAAGACAAGAGUGUGAGCCCUCCGUUAUGCCUGGACAGGGCCACUAGAGGGCUCCCUGGUCUACUGGUAACGCCAGUGCCUGGGAAGGCACCCGUUGCUUAGCAGACCGGGAAAGGGAGUCUCCCUUUCCUGGUGGAGUUAAAGAAGACUCUGCUCCACCACUGCUUGCCCGCCCGCAGCCACCCAGAGGCCUAACGCUGUCCCUGUGAUGCUGUGCUUCAGUGGUCACGCUCCUGGUCCGCAUUCAUGUUCUGCCCUGUGCACUCGGCUCCACCUUCUAGAUAGCAGCAGCAGAAUUAGUGAAAGUACUAAAGUCUUUAAAAUGCAUAGAAGAAAUAAUUACGUAAGCUGUCCCCUCUUUCUCUCCGCCUCAGCUACCAAAUAGGGAAGGGCCCCCUGUCUGGCGGACACGUGACUCACAUGACCUUACCUAUCAUUGGAGAUGACUCUCACUCCAUACCCUGCCCCUUUGCCUUGUACACAAUAAAUAACAGCACGGCCAGGCAUUCGGGGCCACUACUGGUCUCCGCGUCUUGGUGGUAGUGGUCCCCCGGGCCCAGCUGUCUUUUCUUCUAUCUCUUUGUCUUGUGUCUUUCUUUCUUUUUUU